rnacentral:rRNA from 1 species
AUUGAACGCUGGCGGCAUGCCUUACACAUGCAAGUCGAACGGUAACGGGCCUUCGGGUGCCGACGAGUGGCGAACGGGUGCGUAAUACAUCGGAACGUGCCCGAUCGUGGGGGAUAACGAGGCGAAAGCUUUGCUAAUACCGCAUACGAUCUACGGAUGAAAGCAGGGGACCGCAAGGCCUUGCGCGGACGGAGCGGCCGAUGGCAGAUUAGGUCGUUGGUGGGAUAAAAGCUUACCAAGCCGACGAUCUGUAGCUGGUCUGAGAGGAUGAUCAGCCACACUGGGACUGAGACACGGCCCAGACUCCUACGGGAGGCAGCAGUGGGGAAUUUUGGACAAUGGGCGCAAGCCUGAUCCAGCCAUGCCGCGUGCAGGAUGAAGGCCUUCGGGUUGUAAACUGCUUUUGUACGGAACGAAAAGCCUUCUUUUAAUACAGGAGGGUCAUGACGGUACCGUAAGAAUAAGCACCGGCUAACUACGUG